GAUGAACGCUGGCGGCGUGCCUAAUACAUGCAAGUCGAGCGAACAGACCAGGAGCUUGCUCCUCUGACGUUAGCCGCGGACGUGUGAGUAACACGUGGAUAACCUACCUAUAAGACUGGGAUAACUUCGGGAAACCGGAGCUAAUACCGGAUAAUAUCUUGAACCGCGUGGUUCAAUAGUGAAAGUCGGUUUUGCUGUCACUUAUAGAUGGAUCCGCGCCGGAUUGGCGAGUUGGUAAGGUAACGGCUUACGAAGGCUACGAUGCGUAGCCGACCUGAGAGGGUGGUAGGCCACACUGGAACGUGAACGGCCACCAGGCUCCUACGGGAGGCAGCAGUAGGGAAUCGUCCGCAAUGGGCGAAAGCCUGACAGAGCGGCGCCGCGUGAGUGAUGAAGGUCUUCGGUUCGUAAAACUCUGUUAUUAGGGAAGAACAAAUGUGUAAGUAACUAUGCACGUCUUGACGGUACCUGAUCAAAAAGCAACGGCUAACUACGUG
rnacentral:rRNA from 1 species